AUUGGGCAAGUUGUGUUGCUUUCUAUUGGCUGGUCGUGGCUGAUAUACCCAAGAGAAAGCUUACGAGGGAAGGGAAAGAAGGCCUCUGUACGCAUGAACCCCACCUUCUCCAUCCCUACACGCAACCUCUUCCUCUCCUCCGCAUCUUCUGUCAGGGGCCCUUGUGGCUGCAGCAGAGGGCAGUCAAGGGGGCGAGCAGGAUGGGUCCAGCCGAUUUCUUCGCCGGAUCUGGAGCCCAGGGGCGACGCCGACGAGCACGCAGCCACGCCAACGUCGUUGCCUCGAGAGAGGAGUGGGUGGGAGGAGAAGGCGGCGGCGGCUCGAGGGCAAGGGUCGGAUCUUCUCGCCUGAUUCAUGGCGUAAGUGGAUAUGGGUUUUGGUAUCGAUUCCCUUUUCUAAUUCAAGUUCUUGCGGAAGUCUCGUACAGAAUUGGCGUUCUAACUUUAUCUCAGCGGAUCUAUUUUUAUCAGAGUUUAGAAAAAUCCUCUAAUCACAAGUUGGAACCCGAUUUGCUUUCUUCCCUUCAGACUCCAGUUCAUGCAAAAAUACGAACAUAGCUUUCCUGUACCCAAGACCAAGAAACGAGCGUUUGGAGUUACCCUGUUCAGAAAAAUAAGCUGAACAUUUUCUUUUCAUUUUUGUCCAGGGCAUGCUUGAUCGUAUUACUCUUAAUUUAGCACAGUUCUAUGUUUAUUGGAAAAGUACCAGUUAAUCAGUAAGUCGGUUCACUUAGCUGAAAAUGACACUAAAGGUCUCAACAAGUGUUACUUGCUGCCCAAAAUCAGCAGUUUCCAAUUUUCUCCUCAAUUUCUGCAAGGAAAAGAAAGACGAUAGUUAUUUAGACCCGCCCCCUCCUUUUUCCAACUCCUCCCUCUUGAUUCCUGGGUGUUAUCUUAUCAAAUCGAGGUGAUUUUAGCUUCCCCUAAAGCAACGGGCUCAUCGCCCAUGCCCAUCCUCCUCGUCUCGUUAUCGUCUCCGUUAGCAGGUGAGAUAUCAUGCUUCCUCUCUGGUCUCGAUUUCGUGUUGCUAUUCUACUGUGUGUUGUAUGCCAAAACUUAUUGGAAAGCCACGUGGCUUUCAGCAGUCUGCACCCCACCAAGGUGUGGUGGCCGGUGGAGUUGACUUAUUAGCUCGCAUGCACUUGCUUAAUUGAUUCUGCAUGGCAGCGAUGAUUUAUGUUGGUUUUCCAUGACUAGGUGAUUGUCCGAUGGGUUAUGCAUCCAUGCGUGUAAAUAAUCAGUAUCAAGCGGGUUUCUCUUGAUGUGUACAAUAGUCGAACAAAUUUUUUAUGCGUGUUGAUGCUGCAUGGAAGCAUUGGAAGCGAAAAAAACCCUUCACAUACCUAAAUAAAAGCAUGUCCUCACGUGGCACUGUGCAAGACCACAACGAUGAACAUCACUUGGCGAACAAGUCUCGAAUCAAUUUCGAUUUGCGAUGGUCUGCUCAGAGGGCGUUCUGGCGAUGCGUGGUUCCGUCCUAUUUUAGUAGGGAUGUAUCUCUUCUACAAUCUUUUGGUACUUUUGUAGAUUAGGAUGUUUAAUUCUUUUUCAAUGAUAGUUUAAUAGUAGUCAAGAUAUGGGAUCUGCAUGUCCAUUUUAUUUUAAUGCAUAUAUAUGUUUUUACUCUUAAUUACAUCUCUGGGAGUAUUAUGCCCAUUCAAGAAGCAAAAGCCAUAGCCUCUCCAACAAGGUUUUCAAUAUAAAGGGGGAAAUUUGAAGGUGUAUAAGGUAAAUAUGCAGAGCUCUAGGUAUAUUCCGUAAUAAAUUUUCUUUAUACAUUUCAUUAUAAUUAAAAAGGAAAUACGAAUGAGGUGCCUGUUGUCAGUUGCAAUCACAAAUCUAAGAAUCCCCCUUUAAAUGUAAUUGAUAAAUUGAUCAAAGAGUAAUUGUUUGCCUCCCUUCCCCCACUGCGUAGAGAGUGUGAGAACCACACAGCUAUAGGGCUAACCCUGAAUGAUUGCUUAUCAAUUUCAGCUACUACAAUUAUUGUGUAGAUUCAAGUAGUGUGUUGUAGUUACCAUGUCAUUUAUUUACACAAGAGAAGUUUUUGUGAAGCACCAGCAUAGGAUAGCUUUUGAAAGUUUUGGGAAGCCCUGAAGGACAUGUUUAGAAGUGGCUGCAUAGAUGGUAUGCAUAACAUUGCUUUGCAAACCUUUAGGAUGCUAGAUUGAAUCACUAGGAAGAAGACUAAUGGUGGCAUGAUAUUGUGUUCUGUCAUGCCCUCACUCCUUUUCCCUCUUGUCAACGGUACUACUUUCAGGUGAAAUACGCAGAGAACAAUUUGAAGGAGUACAUCCACGGAGACGAUGAUAUCCUACCAGUCAAGCUUGGAGAUGGACCACCAUCACGACGAUCGCUUCAUGCUUGGAACUGACAAGAGGGCCACCAUCACGACGAACUAAUCAUAGUUUCGCCACCACCCAAACAUCCAGCAAGGUGACAUCUGCACCUUCCUUUUCAAGCACAAGCAAGGGCGCUGCCUCUCUCUCUCAUGUGCACCGUCUCUAGACACACCACCGUCAGCGGCAUCUAUCGUCUAUACAUAUGAUCCAUGUAUGGUCUUUAGUUUCUCUCUUAUGACUUAAUAUGUCUAUGCUCUGAUGACCCAGUGAACUAUGUAUUUAGUUUCUCUCUAAGACUUAAUAUGCCUGUGCUCUGAUUAUCCAGUGAACUAUGUCUCUCUUUUGGAGAUCGCCCACCUUUGGGAGGAUGGUAGAGUUUGAUUUCAACCGAUCGCCAUGCUCUGUGAUACCUUUUAGAGGAUGUUGAGUUUGAUUUCAACAGAUCGCCAUGCUUUGUGAUCAGUCAUCCAUCUUGUAAGACUGUCACCUCCCUGUUAAAAUUGACAUGCGUGCUUUAUGAGCUAAUAUUGUGCUGCUGCAGUUCUACUUCA